rnacentral:rRNA from 1 species
AUGAUCGGAGAAAAGGAAGGGGCGUGGUUGAUGUGUCACUGGGAACCCGUAGGAAGGGGAGACGACCGUCCUCAUUCACAUCUGAAAUCGCCAACAUGA